GACGGGGGGGGCAAGUGUUCUUCGGAAUUACUGGGCGUAAAGAGUGUGUAGGCGGUGUUCUAAGUUUGGUGUGAAAUCUCCCGGCUCAACUGGGAGGGUGCGCCGAAAACUGGAAUGCUAGAGUAUGGGAGAGGUAAGCGGAAUUCCUGGUGUAGCGGUGAAAUGCGUAGAUAUCAGGAGGAACACCUGUGGUGUAGACAGCUUACUGGACCAUCACUGACGCUGAGACACGAAAGCGUGGGUAGCAAACAGG
rnacentral:rRNA from 1 species